rnacentral:lncRNA from 1 species
CCUCCCUCUGGGAGCUCUUCCCCAGGGAGGCGAGGAGCUGCUACUGGCCCGAUUGCCCUGGAGGGGGUGGGGGUGAGGGGACUGCCGGGGGUGGUGGGUGGAGUCCCAGGUUGAGAGGUCUUGCCCAGUGAGGAAAAAUGGGGUGGAGGACCCAUGUAAAAAACGAUCUGAAUGCUUUUUUAUAGGGCAGCUGCACUGUGCCGGGGGGCCAGUCAGUCCCUCAUCACCCUGGGCUCUCCAGUGCCUGAAGGCAGCAACAGCAAAGGCUGCAAAACAGCAAAGAUGGUGGCCCACCCCUCCCUCCGGGAGCUCCCUCUCAGGGAGGCGUGGAGCUGCUACCAUGGUCACAUGUGGCUGGAGUUCCAGGUCAGUGGGUCUUACCCCACCAGGUGCCGUGGAAGUGAGGCCUGCAGACUGUCUCUGCUCAGCCCCUUGGAUUCAGCCCCUUUCCCUUAAGGGAGCCUAACCUACCCCUUUGCCAGAGCUGUGGCUGCUAAUCCUGGGAUGCCCGGGGACCAAAGGCUCCUAGGACCCUGAUCAGUGGCUCUGCCCAGACUCCACCUAGCUCUGUGUGUCAGAGUGAACCCUGGUAGUAGGUUCAUGAGGGGGACCUCCUGACCUCAGCGUUGCAAAGAGAUGGGGUUUCACCAUGUUGCUCAGGGUGGUCUUGAACUCCUGGACUCAAGUGAUCCACUCCCUUCAGCCUACCCAGGUGCUGGGAUUACAGGUAUGAGCCACUUCUACUUUUAACCUACGUAUAUCAUGAUGUUUGAGGCCGUUGAGUUCAGCUUAUGGUGAUGGAAAGAGAGAUGUCAAUAAUUCCACAUUUUCUGGCUUGCAUUGUUUGAUGAAAGGUGACCCCAUUCCCUGAGUUAAAGAAUGCUGAAAGAAGACCAGGCUUGAGGAGGAAGGAUCAUGCAUUUGCUUUUGGACCUGUAGAGUUUGAGGACAUGUUCAGCACCAGGAGGAAUUUGCAUCCAAGUCCGUCUCCCUGCUAAGUGGUAUUUUGAGAAUUCCGAAGCUUAGUCUCAGAGAAGAGCUGACCUGAACUUGCCGAGGCUCCCACUGCAUUGUAGCUUUUCUCUGGAGAACAAAAACUGCCAUUGUCCAGCAGCUCAUUAGCAUGACUGUACAGCCUCCGGAGUUAGCAAGGUGAUGCAAAAAUAAUAUGACAAGAUCCAUGUCUUCAAUGAGCUACAAUCCUACUGGGACAUGAGACUGUGCUUAUAAUAUGAUGAAAGAAUAAGAAAAUUUUAAAGCUAUAACAGGCAGAGCACAAGAACAAGCAGAGCUAUAACAAGCAGAGCACAAGAAGGAAGAGUGCAGAUCCAGGACUGGGACACUUAACCAAUAAUAAUACAAAUAGUGAGUACUGUUAGUUGAUUUUCCAGGCUCCUCUUCUCACUUGUAAUGGAAUUACAAAUUAUUUUGUUGGUCAUUGACACUAACCCCAGAUUCAGAAGGAGAUUUGAUUAGAGUAGUGUGAGUAUAAUCUCAUUGCUACUUCCAUAGCAAUUGGUUUGGGGUGAAUACUGUUGGGUGACAGCAGAGGGAGAUUAUUUCAUUUCCUGUGAUCUGUGUUCAAGGAAUUAUGGUGUUUUAAUUGCUGCUAGUAGCACUUUACUUUAGGAUGAAACCUGGUACAUACAUGUAAAGCACUUUAAACAGUUCCUGGUGCAAAGUAAAUGCUUAACAUGUGUUCUUUAUUGCUAUGGUUUGAAUGUAUGUGCCCCUCCAAAAUUCAUUUGUUGGAACUUAAACCCCAAGGUGAUGGUAUUAAGAGAUGGAGCCUUUGGAAGGUGACUGAGCCAUAAGCGCUCUGCCCUCAUUGAUGGGAUUAGUGCCCUCAUAAAAGAGCUUGAGGAGCUAGUUCUCCCUUUUUGUCCUUUUGCCCUUCCUCUCUUUCUACCAGAUGAAAACACAGCAGCAACAGGUGCCAUUUUGGAAGCAAGAAGCAGAGAACAAGCUCUCACUGGGCAUUAAAUCUGCCGGCAUCUUGAUCUUGAACUUCUCAACCUCCAGAACUCUGAGAAAUAAAUUUCUAUUAUUUACAAAUUACCCAGUCUAAGGUGUUUUGUUAUAGCAGCUCAAACAAAUUAAGAUAUCUGUUUAUUGCUUUUGGUAUGUGUUUGUGUUUUAAUUUUCUUGGAAGGUAGAGCAGAGAGACAAAAAUCACCAAAUUUUGGUGACAUGGUUGAAGCUCUGGGUCAAACCAAUCUUUGAGUCCAGCCUCUGAACCUCGCAUUAAAGUCCUUUAUAGUUUAGAUUGGUUAGGAUUAGGUCUCUUGAUGUUUGUUUUCACCUUGAGGGUUCCUAACUGCUACGGGGAGUCAGUGUGAUUUAACUCUAAGUGAAGAAGAACAGUUUAGAGGGAUGAUCCUGCACAUCUGCAUGGUGAUUGAAUUUAUGUCUCCUAUAAUUGUAUAUACAAAAUGAAAGUUUGGACUCUACAGGACAGGAGACUUUCCCCAACUUCUACCCUCCUUUAUCUUUUGCUGAUUAGUAUUGCAACAGGCACCUAACCAAACUCUCUGGCUCUGGGCCUGUGCUGUGUCUUCUAAUCUUCACACAGCUGCCAGCAUUAUCUUUAAAAGACAGAUCUUAUUAUUUUACACACAAAACAGACACACAUCUCCAUGCAGCAUCUGCUUAAAGUGUUUCUGUGGUUCCUGAUUGCUGACUGGAUUUCACUCAACUUUUUAGCAUGGCCCACAUGGAGCUACCUCUGCCCCACCUUUUCAGUUUCAACUCUUAGGACCCUCUCCUACAAACAUUGGGGUUCACUGUACCCUGAACAUGUGAUAGUCUUGCGUGUCUCCAAGCCUUUGCAUCUGCUAUUCCCCAUGCAUGCAAGGUCUUGCUCUUACUUUCUGUACAGGAGAACUCCUCUUCACCUUUGAAAACCCUCAACUCAAAUACCAAUUGGUUAAGACAUAUUUCUUGAUGUCCCCUGACAGAACCACUAGGAUGUGUAUGACUUAUUAUAGGAAUUUGACAUUUCACAACUGUGGGCGCUAGUUAGUUGGUAAACAGCCUUUGGGAGGUUGUUGUGUUUAUCUUGAAGGCAGGAAGUUGAAAAGGGAAAAUGGAAAAGAAGAACAAAUUGGGACCUGAAUGGUGCCUAUGAGGAUGAACUGGAACCCGUGUUGGUCUGGAACCUUGGUUGGAAAUCCAAGCUUUCAACUUUAAUGAUGCGGAUGUUCUGCAAGAGAAGCUGGUGCACUUUUUCAUGCUUGAUAUGCACCUGGCCCAGGAGUCAGAGAAGCUGAAAAACGAUCCAGCAGGAGCUGGAGUCUGUGUGGGCCUUGUUGUUGCACCACCGUCCGCCUCCAGGCAAGACAACUG